rnacentral:rRNA from 1 species
UACAGAGGGGGCAAGCGUUGUUCGGAAUUACUGGGCGUAAAGGGCUCGUAGGUGGCCAACUAAGUCAGACGUGAAAUCCCUCGGCUUAACCGGGGAACUGCAUCUGAUACUGGAUGGCUUGAGUUUGGGAGAGGGAUGCGGAAUUCCAGGUGUAGCGGUGAAAUGCGUAGAUAUCUGGAGGAACACCGGUGGCGAAGGCGACGUCCUGGACCGGCAUUGACGCUGAGGCGCGAAAGCCAGGGGAGCAAACGGG